AAAUUGAAGAGUUUGAUCAUGGCUCAGAUUGAACGCUGGCGGCAGGCCUAACACAUGCAAGUCGAACGGUAACAGAAAGCAGCUUGCUGCUUUGCUGACGAGUGGCGGACGGGUGAGUAAUGUCUGGGAAACUGCCCGAUGGAGGGGGAUAACUACUGGAAACGGUAGCUAAUACCGCAUAACGUCGCAAGACCAAAGAGGGGGACCUUMGGGCCUCUUGCCAUCGGAUGUGCCCAGAUGGGAUUAGCUAGUAGGUGGGGUAAAGGCUCACCUAGGCGACGAUCCCUAGCUGGUCUGAGAGGAUGACCAGCCACACUGGAACUGAGACACGGUCCAGACUCCUACGGGAGGCAGCAGUGGGGAAUAUUGCACAAUGGGCGCAAGCCUGAUGCAGCCAUGCCGCGUGUAUGAAGAAGGCCUUCGGGUUGUAAAGUACUUUCAGCGGGGAGGAAGGGAGUAAAGUUAAUACCUUUGCUCAUUGACGUUACCCGCAGAAGAAGCACCGGCUAACUCCGUGCCAGCAGCCGCGGUAAUACGGAGGGUGCAAGCGUUAAUCGGAAUUACUGGGCGUAAAGCGCACGCAGGCGGUUUGUUAAGUCAGAUGUGAAAUCCCCGGGCUCAACCUGGGAACUGCAUCUGAUACUGGCAAGCUUGAGUCUCGUAGAGGGGGGUAGAAUUCCAGGUGUAGCGGUGAAAUGCGUAGAGAUCUGGAGGAAUACCGGUGGCGAAGGCGGCCCCCUGGACGAAGACUGACGCUCAGGUGCGAAAGCGUGGGGAGCAAACAGGAUUAGAUACCCUGGUAGUCCACGCCGUAAACGAUGUCGACUUGGAGGUUGUGCCCUUGAGGCGUGGCUUCCGGAGCUAACGCGUUAAGUCGACCGCCUGGGGAGUACGGCCGCAAGGUUAAAACUCAAAUGAAUUGACGGGGGCCCGCACAAGCGGUGGAGCAUGUGGUUUAAUUCGAUGCAACGCGAAGAACCUUACCUGGUCUUGACAUCCACGGAAGUUUUCAGAGAUGAGAAUGUGCCUUCGGGAACCGUGAGACAGGUGCUGCAUGGCUGUCGUCAGCUCGUGUUGUGAAAUGUUGGGUUAAGUCCCGCAACGAGCGCAACCCUUAUCCUUUGUUGCCAGCGGUCCGGCCGGGAACUCAAAGGAGACUGCCAGUGAUAAACUGGAGGAAGGUGGGGAUGACGUCAAGUCAUCAUGGCCCUUACGACCAGGGCUACACACGUGCUACAAUGGCGCAUACAAAGAGAAGCGACCUCGCGAGAGCAAGCGGACCUCAUAAAGUGCGUCGUAGUCCGGAUUGGAGUCUGCAACUCGACUCCAUGAAGUCGGAAUCGCUAGUAAUCGUGGAUCAGAAUGCCACGGUGAAUACGUUCCCGGGCCUUGUACACACCGCCCGUCACACCAUGGGAGUGGGUUGCAAAAGAAGUAGGUAGCUUAACCUUCGGGAGGGCGCUUACCACUUUGUGAUUCAUGACUGGGGUGAAGUCGUAACAAGGUAACCGUAGGGGAACCUGCGGUUGGAUCACCUCCUUACCUUAAAGAAGC
rnacentral:rRNA from 1 species